rnacentral:misc_RNA from 1 species
AACGCAUCUUGCGCUCCUUGGUAUUCCGAGGAGCAUGCCUGUUUGAGUGUCGUGUAACUGCUCUCAAUUUCAGUUUGAAGUUGAGGAUGUGGUUGUUGUCGUGAUCUCAUACGACUCAUCCUAAAUGCAUCGAGUGGGUCUUGGCUUUAUCGAUUCACACACAAUGUGAUAAGGAAAGCAUUGUUUAGAAUUGAGUCAGAACCUGUUUCUAAUUGUCGAAAGACACGCAUAUAUAUAUAUGUCGUUUGACCUCAAAUCAGGCAGGACUACCCGCUGAACUUAA